GGGCCAGGACACCCCCUCUCGCCUGCCCAGUCCUGACGGUGGCCACACAAGCCACCUAUUAGGUUGUUCAAUAGGCUUAUCCAGUUAACCGCUCCCCGGCUCACCCUUGGGAGAGAGCCGCAGGAAAGGAUUUAUUACUUGAAACAAAUUGUGACUUCCCCAGGGAGAAGGAUGCUGAGCGGGGGAGGGGGAAAAAAGAGGCCUCGAAGGCUCCCAGUCCCUCCUGGAAGCGUCUGAGAGUGGAGAGAGCCGCCCCGCAAGAACUCGAGCCGUCGGUGCUCCCGCUGCCCGCACUGUGACGGCGCCGCUGGCCCGGGGAGGGGGACACACACCCCCGCCCACCCCGGGGGACAGGUUGGGAGCAUAAACAGGCGAGAGCGGCUCUAGCCUGGGCGCCGCACUUUGUUUGAGACGUGCAGCUUCCAUGUGUUACCACAUAAACACACGCUAACGGGAUGCUUUAUGGUCCAGCCCUUCAGGGGAGGGGAAGGGGGUAGGACAGGGGAGAGGAGAGGUAAAAAAAUCCCCCCACCCCCAACCUGUCCUCUCGCUAACCCCACGUCCCCCUCGCCUCCCUGGACGGGACCCCCCUGCACCACACGGGGCGGGAGGCAGAGCUCAGCAGCCGUCUCGGAGGCUUUAUUUUAACUACCACCUCCUCUCCGCGGGACCAGCCCAUCGGCACCGCCGGCACUGCGGACAGGGACCGGCCCAGCCACCAGGGCGGCUCGGUGCUCCUCGGCAGGCCCUAAGUGUGGGGAAGGGAAAGCUACGUCGGGGAAAGUGUCACCGUUCCCCAGAAGGGUCCCGGGGCGACGGGACACCUCCGUCCCUAUCUCCGCAAAGCCGUCGGGCCCCCACCCGAGGGGCCAGACUGGCCUAGCAGGCAGCCUUGCCAGUCCCCCAGUUUGCAAUUUUUAUUUUUCGCUGGGUCUUGUGAGAUCCCACAUGGAUGCCGUUAACGACCUCUCGAUAAUGAUCAUGACAAAGGCAUUAUUCAAAUGAGGCAGGAAUCGGCCCGAAUGUUAAACCAGAUACGCUCACGCCGGUACAUCGUGCCCGAGCCCUGCAGGAUCGCCCCGGCACAUAGGCGGCUGACGUUCAUCUUCGAGGGGCUUAAAUUUGCUAGAGCCCGCAGCUCUAAUCCAAGUCAUGAUAAAGCAUUUCCCUCCACAAA